rnacentral:rRNA from 1 species
UACGAGGGGUGCAAGCGUUGCUCGGAAUUAUUGGGCGUAAAGGGUAGGUAGGUGGUCUGAUUUGUCAGGGGUGAAAGCCUUGGGCUUAACCCAAGAAGUGCCCCUGAAACGGUCAGACUGGAGUCUUGGAGAGGGUCGUGGAAUUCCCGGUGUAGCGGUGAAAUGCGUAGAGAUCGGGAGGAACACCAGAGGCGAAGGCGGCGACCUGGACAAGCACUGACACUCAACUGCGAAAGCGUGGGUAGCAAACAGG